rnacentral:tRNA from 1 species
GGCGCUGUGGCAUAGCAGGUUAAUGCCCUGGCCUGAAGCGCCAGCUUCCCAUAUGGGUGCUGGUUCGAGACCGGCUGCUCCA